UCUAAAAGUGCAUACGAGUCAUAUGACUGUAAAUAUGACAUAACGCUGAAUACUGAAUACAAACACAUGUGACAGCAGCAGUCUUAAAUGACCUAUUUCAAUCACAGAGCAUAUACAGAAAAUAGAUGUAGCCCUGGGUAUAAUCAGACUGUCCAUUCACUAGUUGUUUUUAGAAGGUAUAUGCUCUCUGUAAACAUUUCCCUGAAGUGUUUCAAUAUUCAAAUUCAACACAGUGUCAUUGAGUCAAUGUCUCACCUUCUAGUAUUAGGAUAAGAGAUAAUAUGGUGAUGCACACAUCUGGCUGUCUGCAGAAGGCAAGACAACUCUUGUAAAUAAAAAAAUGGCUUAUUGCACAGUUAUUAAAAAAUAAUAAGUUAUUAUAAUAUUGUUUUUUGGCUACUUUCUGCUGAAAAAAUAAUAAUUUGAAGCUAUUUUAAACAAAAUCUCAGUCUGUGUAUGUUUCAGUAAAACAAAGUUGCAGGGAGUAUUUUUUUAUUUUUAAAGUAGUAGCUGCAAGGUAAUUUGCAGCUACAAAAUACAUUUGUGAAAAAGAAUAAACAAAUAACAAAUAACACUGUUUACUUUUUUCCCAUUCCUUAAUCAUCAAUUUAAUAUGGUAGAAAAUGUGAAUGUUUGUGAAAUGUGUAAAAUGUGUGGUCAAAAUGGGGUGCUGAUUUUAAUAACUGAGUAGAUGAGUAGAAGACAAACAUAUAGUUAAACAGUAAGUAAAGUGUGUUUCUUAGGUACAGCAUCGGAGUUAAUGGGUGAUGUGUUGCUGUGGUCACAGAGUAUGAUUUAGCAUAAAUAAAACCCUCCCUGGUACACCUUUGACCCACAUCCAAACUGGAUGCAGCUGUUGCAGCAGCUGUUGCAGCAGAAGAUGUCACACAGUAAUAAAUUAACUUUGAAUUCGCAUGCUUUCAACGCACUACCUGCUUCGAGUACAACAAACAGAAUAUUAGCUCUUGUGUGAGACUCAUUUUUGUGUCCAUUCAAAUGUAAGGUCUGACCAGACUCAAAGGACAGAUGACAUAUAAUGUUUAGAGGCCAUGUAAUUAAACAGUAACCACUGAAGCCAUUUCUACUGAGCCACUUCUGUCUAUUUGUUUGUUUCCUGCCUGCACUGUUGCUAACCAGAGAAGUUACACAGUGCUGCGGAAAUCAGUUUGUAAUUAUUUGACCUCAGCAUUAAUGGUUUGUGUUUAAUGUUGACAUGUAUGUGUCUUCCUGCUCUUCUGCUACGUUUUCAUGCAACACACUCGGACCAGCUGGCUUUAUUUUUCAAAGUGCUGUAAUGACAAGUCACAGAAGCUCCCAGCUGGCACGUGACAGAACACAGUAGCAGUUUGACACAGAUUAGUUAGAGGAAGUGUUGGGGCUACACAGAGAAGAGGCAAAAAAAUAAAAAAUAAUAUUUACUGUCACUGGAAAACUGUGCCUUAUACUUAUGCAUAGAAAGUUGGUUGAGAUGACACCUUCAUACUUGGAAUGGAAAUACUAAUAGCCAGCUUUAUCACCAGCCAUUUCGGGACAAGUGCUACUCCAGUCACUUCAGCCCAAGCUGAACCUGAUGACCCAUCAUGAACUCUACAAUUUGAGCAACGUUUGCAAAACACAGACAUAGAACUGGAUUCCUUAAAUGUAAAAAAAAAA